rnacentral:rRNA from 1 species
GACGAACGCUGGCGGCGUGCUUAACACAUGCAAGUCGAACGGAAAGGCCCUGCUUUUGUGGGGUGCUCGAGUGGCGAACGGGUGAGUAACACGUGAGUAACCUGCCCUUGACUUUGGGAUAACUUCAGGAAACUGGGGCUAAUACCGGAUAGGAGCUCCUGCUGCACGGUGGGGGUUGGAAAGUUUCGGCGGUUGGGGAUGGACUCGCGGCUUGUCAGCUUGUUGGUGGGGUAGUGGCUUACCAAGGCUUUGACGGGUAGCCGGCCUGAGAGGGUGACCGGCCACAUUGGGACUGAGAUACGGCCCAGACUCCUACGGGAGGCAGCAGUGGGGAAUAUUGCACAAUGGGCGGAAGCCUGAUGCAGCAACGCCGCGUGCGGGAUGACGGCCUUCGGGUUGUAAACCGCUUUCGCCUGUGACGAAGCGUGAGUGACGGUAAUGGGUAAAGAAGCACCGGCUAACUACGUG